UACGUAGGGGGCUAGCGUUGUCCGGAAUCAUUGGGCGUAAAGCGCGUGUAGGCGGUUCGGUAAGUCUGCUGUGAAAGUCGGGGGCUCAACCCUCGGAUGCCGGUGGAUACUGUCGGGCUAGAGUGCGGAAGAGGCGAGUGGAAUUCCUGGUGUAGCGGUGAAAUGCGCAGAUAUCAGGAGGAACACCUAUUGCGAAGGCAGCUCGCUGGGACGUAACUGACGCUGAGACGCGAAAGCGUGGGGAGCAAACAGG
rnacentral:rRNA from 1 species